CCCAGGUGAAAAGAGCUAGAGGAGAGGAAGCACUGCUGAACCUUGAGACAUGUUAGGGGAAGUUGAUGAACAGGUUUUUCCCAACAAAGAAAAGGAACCAACGCUCCAUAUCAGGUGUGGACAAAGACAGUGGACUGUCUUUUGAAUUGGAGAUUUCAGGAAGAAUAUUUGCAUUGUAAAAAUCUCAAACUUCCAUCUUCACAAGACAGCACAGUGUCUACACCCAGUAGGGGAAAGAAACUUCAUCUGGAGAUACACUUCAAAAAAUACCUUUCAAAGGUUUCCUGGACUAUAAAAAGAACAGAAGAGAACCCCUAUUUUAUCCUUCACUUGAUGAAACAAAGAAACCAAGCACUGAACUCUGUGUUUGGAUCCUGGCUAAGGACUAGCUCGCCAUGCUGGAAGAAUGAUCAUAGUUAGAAAACUUUGUCUCAAAAGAGUUGUUAAGCUGAGUUUCAGCCUUAGAAGUGUAUUUUCACUUUGGUUUGCUUGUAACCAUCUCUAUCCCUAUUACUUCUACUUGGUUUUACUUAAACUGGACACAGGUAUGUCCUUAUGUUAAUAAACAUGUUUUACUUUUACUAUAAA